GUGCUCGCUUCAGAGGCACAUAUACUAAAAUUGAAACGAGAUUAGCACGGCCCCUGCACAAGGAUAACAUGCAAAUUCGUGAAGCGUUAAAAAAAAAA
rnacentral:snRNA from 1 species